GAUGAACGCUGGCGGCGUGCCUAAUACAUGCAAGUCGAGCGAACAGACGAGGAGCUUGCUCCUCUGACGUUAGCGGCGGACGGGUGAGUAACACGUGGAUAACCUACCUAUAAGACUGGGAUAACUUCGGGAAACCGGAGCUAAUACCGGAUAAUAUAUUGAACCGCAUGGUUCAAUAGUGAAAGACGGUUUUGCUGUCACUUAUAGAUGGAUCCGCGCCGCAUUAGCUAGUUGGUAAGGUAACGGCUUACCAAGGCAACGAUGCGUAGCCGACCUGAGAGGGUGAUCGGUCACACUGGAACUGAGACACGGUCCAGACUACUACGGGAGGCAGCAGUAGGGAAUCUUCCGCAAUGGGCGAAAGCCUGACGGAGCAACGCCGCGUGAGUGAUGAAGGUCUUCGGAUCGUAAAACUCUGUUAUUAGGGAAGAACAAAUGUGUAAGUAACUAUGCGCGUCUUGACGGUACCUAAUCAGAAAGCCACGGCUAACUACGUG
rnacentral:rRNA from 1 species